rnacentral:rRNA from 1 species
GCAUAUCAAUAAGCGGAGGAAAAGAAACCAACAGGGAUUGCCUCAGUAACGGCGAGUGAAGCGGCAAAAGCUCAAAUUUGAAACCCUCGGGAUUGUAAUUUGAAGAUUUGGCAUUGGAGAAAGCUAACCCAAGUUGCUUGGAAUAGUACGUCAUAGAGGGUGACAACCCCGUCUGGCUAACCGUUCUCCAUGUAUUGCCUUAUCAAAGAGUCGAGUUGUUUGGGAAUGCAGCUCAAAGUGGGUGGUAAACUCCAUCUAAAGCUAAAUACUGGUGAGAGACCGAUAGCGAACAAGUACUGUGAAGGAAAGGUGAAAAGAACUUUGAAAAGAGAGUGAAAUAGUAUGUGAAAUUGUUGAUAGGGAAGGAAAUGAGUGGAGAGUGGCCGAGGUUUCAGCCGCCCCUCGUGGGCGGUGUACUGCCGACGCCGAGUCAUCGAUAGCGAGACGAGGGUUACAAAUGGGAGCGCCUUCGGGCGUUCUCCCCUAACCCUCCACACUGCCACCGACGACAUAAUCCACCCAUUUCACCCGUCUUGA